UUAGGUCAAGUGAAGAAGAGCAUAAGGUGAAUGCCUUGGCACUAGGAGCCGAAGAAGGACGUGGCAAGCUGCGAUAAGCUGCGGGCAGGAGCAAACAUCCGUUGAUCCGCAGAUUUCCGAAUGAGGAAACUCACUUACGGUAAUGCGUAAGUACCCUGUACUGAAUCCAUAGGUACAGAGGAGGUAACCCGGGGAACUGAAACAUCUAAGUACCCGGAGGAAGAGAAAGAAACAUCGAUUCCCUAAGUAGCGGCGAGCGAACGGGGAAGAGCCCAAACCGGAUUUAUCCGGGGUUGUGGACCAUUCAUAACGCGAAGCGUGUAUAGUCGAAGAGAUCUGGAAAGAUCUGCCGUAGAAGGUAAAGGCCCUGUAGACGAAAUGCACAAAUCGUAGAGUGGCACCAGAGUACCACCAGGCACGUGAAACCUGGUGGGAAGCAGGGGGGCCCACCCCCCAAGGCUAAAUACUACCUAGUGACCGAUAGAGAAUAGUACCGUGAGGGAAAGGUGAAAAGAACCCCGGGAGGGGAGUGAAAUAGAACCUGAAACCUUAUGCUUACAAGCAAAGGGAGCGCAAGUGACCUUGUACUUUUUGUAGAACGGGCCAACGAGUUAUGGUAUGUAGCAAGGUUAAGGUGUUAAGCACCGGAGCCGUAGCGAAAGCGAGUCUGAAUAGGGCGUCAAGUUGCAUGCUGUAGACCCGAAACCGGGUGACCUAUCCAUGUGCAGGUUGAAGCGAGAGUAAAAUCUCGUGGAGGACCGAACUCAUGUCUGUUGAAAAAGGCUGGGAUGACGUGUGGAUAGCGGUGAAAUUCCAAUCGAACCCGGAUAUAGCUGGUUCUCCUCGAAAUAGCUUUAGGGCUAGCCUCAGUCAAAGAUACUCGGAGGUAGAGCACUGAAUGUUCUAGGGGCCUUCACCGGUUACCGAAAACUAUCAAACUCCGAAUGCCGA
rnacentral:rRNA from 1 species